GGACUGGAGUCUGCAACCCGACUCCACGAAGCUGGAUUCGCUAGUAAUCGCGCAUCAGCCACGGCGCGGUGAAUACGUUCCCGGGCCUUGUACACACCGCCCGUCAAGCCAUGGGAGCCGGGGGUACCUGAAGUGCGUAACCGCGAGGAUCGCCCUAGGGUAAAACUGGUGACUGGGGCUAAGUCGUAACAAGGUACC
rnacentral:rRNA from 1 species